UACGAAGGGGGCUAGCGUUGCUCGGAAUCACUGGGCGUAAAGGGCGCGUAGGCGGACUUUUAAGUCGGGGGUGAAAGCCCAGGGCUCAACCCUGGAAUUGCCUUCGAUACUGGGAGUCUUGAGUUCGGAAGAGGUUGGUGGAACUGCGAGUGUAGAGGUGAAAUUCGUAGAUAUUCGCAAGAACACCAGUGGCGAAGGCGGCCAACUGGUCCGAAACUGACGCUGAGGCGCGAAAGCGUGGGGAGCGAACAGG
rnacentral:rRNA from 1 species